GAGCUACAAAGACUGCUCCCAUACGAAGUUUAUUUUAUACACAAGCAGGAAUGAAAACAUAGCAUAAGAUAAGAAAUAGCUCAAGUUACACAAGGGGGUGUGCUAAGCUGAAAGAGUGGAAAUAUAUGGAGUUAUAUUUGUGCCACAAUCCUGAGCGCACAGUGUGAAAUUUUGAGCACAGAAAACAAUUUUGAGCAAAGAAAAACUUAAUCUGAGCAAACAAAAAUCUAUUCUGCACUCAAAAAAUAUAUUUUUAUAUUUGCAACUAUCCACAUACACACACAGUCUCAAUGUUUUUCACUCGGUUUUUCACUCUGCUCUCCUGUGGAUCUCUGCUCUACGUCCUCGCUACGUCUCUCUCGCUCUCGCUCAACAUCUGCUCUCUGCACACGCUCAAAUCUGCCUUCACGCUCGCUCAACUCUGCACGGCGUUACAAAUGUGCCACAAUUCCAGCCAAUCACAGACUUCUAAUACUAUCCAAUCGGGUCCCUGUUUCGGCCGCCUCUCGGAAGCGCUGUUAAAAACGAUCGCUAAAUCAACUGGAGUUCUGCUAUAUACGCUGGACUACGACAGAUUUUCGAGCCACUGGACCCUCGUUUAAUUAGCCAAGAUUAGCAAAGCUGUACCAUGUCGGAUCCUGAACGACAACACAACGGUGCACCACAUCCACAUGUAAGUAGUUGGUUUUGCAAACAUAUUUUGUCAUGUAAGCUUGCAUGAAAGUCUGUGUGUCUGUUUCAUUGAUUUGUAUAUUUCUAUUCGCUUGCUAAGGGGCACUAGAUUUGUUGGCUGCUAGCUCAAUCAGUAGCUCUCACUGCAACAAUUAAUUCACAAACUUGACAAACAUACGAACUGAUGGAACAGAUACACUAUCUAAGAAUAAUGCUUUUGUUUUUACGUGUAAUAUUCAACUGUGAUCUUCUCACAGCUCACUAAAAUAGGAUGUGUUGUUUGACGAAGUUACUCUGUGCAAGGCCCUCUGUCCCUUGUCCACAUUGACACAAAUCAUAAACUCAUAAGGUAAAUAAGCUUGCUCAGACUAACUAUUUCAUUUAAAGAGGAAUGUCAUUAAAAAUACUUCAGUGAAGUUUAUCUUGUUUGUUACUUGGGAAUACAUUAUGGAGCCCCUAAUUUAAACAUGUCCCCCAAACAUCUUUUAAUAGAAUAUUUGCAUUCAAAAAAGGUUGUUGCAAUUUAGAACAGUCUGCAAUUAGCUGACACGACUCACACAUGAGCAGCCUUAUUGAAAUAGUACUCCCCAUCUUGAACAGGUACAACAUUGCAGUCUUUGGUGGAGUGGAUGGCUACUCAAGGAAGGUCAUUUUUUACUCUUAAAUUUAUAUGACUGUAUGUAUGAAGUUUUGCAGCUAUAAAUCAGAGUAAUUUGAUCCUUAUGUAUAUAUCAGAAACUUGGACAUGGCUGACUUAGCUUUAUGAACAGCCGUUUAAAACUGUAGGUACUUUUAUCAUAAUCUUCAACCAAAGGGUACAGAUCAUUGGUGAUGGCUUUGGAAUAAUAAAUACAGCCAAGUACACAGAGAUCAGUAUGCCAGCCUUUCAAAUUGGUUUUGAGUAUUUGUUUUAGCUAGUGGCUUUCAGUAUGAAAUUAAUGAUAAUUAUAACGUAAUCAAACAUUUAAUAUCUCAUCUGGAUACAUUUUUACAUACAAGUAAUCUGAAGAGCAAUAUUGUCUUUUUGUAAGUGCCCUGUAUAUGAUCAUUGAUACGAGUGAAGCAGAGCUUGUCACACUUUCACCCUACCAUUUCUAGCACAAAAACAUUAAUAAAAAAGUUAUUUAAAGAUGUAGUAUAUCUCAGAUAGUAACUGUUGGCAGAACUACAGCCCCAUUCACUUUGCAGAAGGUAAAAUGAAUAUAAAGUUGUGUAUUUGAGAUCCAAUUUUUUUUUUUGCUUCAUUACAUUUUUUGAAUAUUAUUUAAGCGUGCAAUUGGUUCAAUGAAAAAUUUUGCUGCAUUGGUUUCAGCUGUAUGUGUCUAAUAAACUCAUUGUAUGGAGUGUUUUUGUUUGUAGGAUAUACCACAUUGAUGUUUUUUAUAAAAAUAAAAUAACACAACAAAUGAGAUACCAAAUGCUACAAAGAACAAUGUUAUAAUAUGCUGUUAGCUAAACACAGAUCUGUACAUUAUCCAUGUGGUUUUACUGCAGGUCUUGUGCUUGGAUGCUGCAACAAAUAACAGAGCACAAACUGCAUUCUCAUUCUUCAUCACAUCGGUCCAGCUUCAUGGCUUACCGUCAAGGGUUAGGGCAGAUCAGGGAGUAGAAAACCUGGAUAUUGCACAUUUCAUGUUUGCCACACGAGGAACAGGAAGAUCGAGCUUCAUCUCUGGAAAAAGUACCAUGACAUUCUUCACUCUCUGGAAGAGGAUGGUCUACUUGAUAUAUCUGAUGCCACUCUUCUCUUUGGUGUGCACUACGGCUUUGUCCCCGACUCCGGGCAGAUCUUGAUACCUUUAUUGAAGGAUGGAAUAAUCAUUCUCUGCGGACAGAGGGAGGUCUCACCCCUGAACAGCUGUGGUGCAUGGGACAUCUACAAGAUCUGGACGAGGGAGAGAGACUCGAGGACCUUCAGGACCCAGGCGUUGACUGGGAGAGUGCUGUGCUGCAGGAAGACUCUCAUGGCACAGUUGUGGUUCCUGAAUUUGAGUGCCCACUGGAUGAUGAAGCCCUGGAAGAACUUCAGAG